GGGUUGUAAACUUCUUUUGUCAGGGACGAAGCAAGUGACGGUACCUGACGAAUAAGCCACGGCUAACUACGUGCCCGCAGCCGCGGUAAUACGUAGGUGGCAAGCGGUAUCCGGAUUUACUGGGUGUAAAGGGCGGGUAGGCGGGACUGCAAGUCAGAUGUGAAAACCACGGGCUCAACCUGUGGCCUGCAUUUGAAACUGUAGUUCUUGAGUACUGGAGAGGCAGACGGAAUUCCUAGUGUAGCGGUGAAAUGCGUAGAUAUUAGGAGGAACACCAGUGGCGAAGGCGGUCUGCUGGACAGCAACUGACGCUGAGGCGCGAAAGCGUGGAGAGCAAACAGGAUUAGAUACCCUUGUAGUC
rnacentral:rRNA from 1 species